rnacentral:rRNA from 1 species
GCACAAGCAGUGGAGUAUGUGGUUUAAUUCGACGCAACGCGAAGAACCUUACCAAGUCUUGACAUCCUGCGACGCACAUAGAAAUAUGUGUUUCCUUCGGGACAUCGAGACAGGUGGUGCAUGGUUGUCGUCAGCUCGUGUCGUGAGAUGUUGGGUUAAGUCCCGCAACGAGCGCAACCCUUAUUGCCAGUUACUACGUUAAGAGGACUCUGGCGAGACUGCCGUUGACAAAA